rnacentral:rRNA from 1 species
UACGGAGGGUGCAAGCGUUAAUCGGAAUUACUGGGCGUAAAGCGCACGCAGGCGGUCUGUCAAGUCGGAUGUGAAAUCCCCGGGCUCAACCUGGGAACUGCAUCCGAAACUGGCAGGCUAGAGGCUUGUAGAGGGGGGUAGAAUUCCAGGUGUAGCGGUGAAAUGCGUAGAGAUCGGGAGGAAGACCGGUGGCGAAGGCGGCCCCCUGGACAAAGACUGACGCUCAGGUGCGAAAGCGUGGGGAGCAAACAGGAUUAGAUACCCUGGUCGUCCACGCCGUAAACGAUGUCGACUUGGAGGUUGUGCCCUUGAGGCGUGGCUUCCGGAGCUAACGCGUUAAGUCGCCCGCCUGGGGAGUACGGCCGCAAGGUUAAA